GGAGUCCGGGAAGGCAUUUUUCUCUAUUCCGUGCUGGAAGGACGACGGUGAACGACGUUCUGCGUGGCUCCACAGAAUUGGCCGCAAAAACUUCGCGCCCUCGAAGAACACCCGCUUGUGCGAGGACCAUUUCAUUCCUGAUGAUUUUGAGAAACCAAGAGUCGAAUCGGAAGACCGGUAUGCUGUUGUCAUGCUUGACGAAAUAAAUUGUUGUUGUGACUGUUGUGAAAUAAAUAUGUUGCUUGCCUCCA